AAUUGAAGAGAGUUAGGGCCUUGCUCUGGAUUAGGCUUUGGCUUAAGGGAAUGUUGUGGCUGGUUUGAUCUUCUGUCCAGACCACUCAAACUUUCUCCUUCUCAGCAGUAGGGCUGUGUGCUUCCUUGUGGUUCACUGGAGUCGCACCUUAAGUUUCCUUCAUGAACUUGUCCUUGGCAUCCACAACUCGGCUAACUGUCCGGUGCAAGAGGCCUCGCUCUUGGCCUGUGUCAGCUUUUCACAUGCCUUCCUCACUAAGCUUAAUCAUUUCUAGCUUUUGGGUUAAAGUGAAAGACCUGCAAUUCUUCCUUUCACUCAAACACUUAGAGGCCAUUGUAGGGUUACAAAUUGGCCUAAUUUCAAUGUUCUCAUGUCUCCGAAAAUAGAGAGGCCCAAGGAGAGGGAGGGGGUAGAGGAAGGGCUGGCUGGUGGAGCAGUCAGAACACAUCCAGCAUUUAUCCAGCAAGUUUGCUGUCUCAUGUGGGCACGGUUUGUGGUGCCCCAAAACAAUUACAAUAGUAAAUAACAUCACAGAUCCCUGAUCACAGAUCACCAUAUAUCAUAAGUAAUGAAAAUCUUUGAAAUCCUGAAUUACCAAAAUGUGACAGAGACACAGAGUGAGCACAUGUGCUGUUGGAAAAAUGACUCCCAUAGAUUUGUUUGACUCAAGGUUGCCACAAACCUUGGUGUUACUCAAUGUUACAAGGAUUUUUUAAAAUUUCAGUUUAAUAUAAUUUGGGUGAAUUAUAUAGAAGAAAAUUGAUAGUUUAAGUUUAUAUUCUUCUACAUGCAACAUUGAGUAACCUGACUCUGGUAUUUAGAGAGUAGUUACUUUUAUAUCAAAUGAUAUUAGGAAUGUACUUUCUCUUUUCCUCCCAAAUGUUUGAUUAUUCAUAAAUUAAAGGCAAUCCAGGUACACUUCAGUUCCUUGAAUAAUUGUUCCUGAAGUGUGUGGGAUGAAUGUUUGUAAAUUAAAUCAGGUUUUUCUAUUGAGCAGCUUUAUUACAACUUUGGAAAUAUUUAUCUUAUUUGAUUCUUGAUCUUCAAGAUUCCCACGCACCUUCACAUUUCCCAGCACACACAGUCACAUACACACACACGCUCACACAUGCUCAUACACUCACAUACAUGCUCACACACAUACACACUCACACACAUGCUCACACACUCAUACACUCACACAUACAUGCUCACACACUCACAAAUAUGCACUCACACUCACCCACACACAUUCUCACACACACACACGUUCACACACAUACUCGCACAUGCAUGCUCACACACAUAUACUCAAAACACAUGCUCACACAUAUUUACAUACACACACACUCACAC
rnacentral:lncRNA from 1 species